rnacentral:rRNA from 1 species
CAGUCGCCGCGUGAAUACAGAGGGUGCGAGCGUUAAUCGGAUUUACUGGGCGUAAAGCGUGCGUAGGCGGCUUCUUAAGUCGGAUGUGAAAUCCCUGAGCUUAACUUAGGAAUUGCAUUCGAUACUGGGAAGCUAGAGUAUGGGAGAGGAUGGUAGAAUUCCAGGUGUAGCGGUGAAAUGCGUAGAGAUCUGGAGGAAUACCGAUGGCGAAGGCAGCCAUCUGGCCUAAUACUGACGCUGAGGUACGAAAGCAUGGGGAGCAAACAGGAUUAGAUACCCCCGUAGUCCCUGUCUCUUAUAC